AUAUGGUUUCCAUCCGUGUUAGUUGCUAAUUGGAACUAUUUUUUCAGAUACCUCACAACUGCAUAUAAACUUCCGCUCGCUGCGUUACGAUGGUUACAUUGAGGUUGGCCAUACCUGAGGUGCGUUCAGAGUCGCAAACAUAGGUGAACGUUCGCGAACGAUUUUAAACAUUUUCCGUUAAACGAACAUAAGCAAGCAAACGUUUACGAACAUAGGCAAACUGUCUGAAGAGGUAGUUCUCCACAAACAUAGAUGGAUCGCGGACUGCAAGAGAUGUGCUCCCAGAUGGAGAUUAACAUGGACGCACUUGACCAGCCACCAGCGGACGAGGUGGUAAUCAUUGGCAAUAACUGGCCCCACACCGCUGUUUUGCUCCUCAUAGAGACCUGGAGGUCUCUUAAGGAGAAGUUUGAGUGUCCCACCAUAAAAAAAAAACAAGCUUGGGAGAUGGUUGCGGAGUGCCUCAGAAAGGAAGCAGUUAAUGUGACAUGGCAGAUGUGUGACAACAAGUGGAGGAACCUUAGGCACAGAUACAAAAUCAUCCGUGAUGGGCAUGGGAAGACAGGACAGGGCCGGCGAAAGUGGGAGUAUUUCGCCGUGCUGGAAGAACUUUUUGCUGGCAACCCAGCUGUGCAGCAGUCAUCUCCUAAACCCCAACAUUCACAACCCCUCCCCCACCACCACCACCAGAUCAGGAAACACCAUCAACUUCAGCUACCAUGACUACGCCACCGGUGAAGCCGAAAACAAAAAAAGACAAAUUGGAUGACAAAUUAGAGGAAAUCAUUAAAUUACAAAAAGAAACGAUAGCUUUUCAAAAAGAAAGAAAUGACAUCCUUAGGCAAUUCACUGCAGCCAUGGUUCGCAUGUCUCAGGGCAAUGAGCAGUAACUUAUUUAUUUUAUUUUAAUAUUUGACUACAGCUUUGACUUUAUCUAACUUAUUCCAUUUAUUAAUUUUUGUAAUUCCAAGGCAAUAUAUAAUAAACACAACAAACAAUAUACUUGACUAAGUAGUGAUUCAUUUAUUAACUCUUUUAGGCCUAUUCUGACCUAUAACAUUGCCGCAAUGUCCUCCCUCUUUUGCUGUGCUGCUCUCCUCUGUACCACCCUAGGCCCAUCUACAGUGGGAAGGGCAUCAUCAAGACCAUCGGCGUCCACAAUUACUGCCUCUUCUUCUCCCUCAUGGAUAAGAAUUAAAUUGUGUAGGACACAUGUGCUGGCAAUUACUUU
ensembl:lncRNA